UGCCAGCCGCCGCGGUAAUACAUAGGGGUCAAGCGUUGUCCGGAUUUAUUGGGCGUAAAGCGCUCGUAGGUGGCUUUGUAAGUCAGAUGUGAAAGCCCACGGCUCAACCGUGGAAUUGCAUUUGAUACUGCAUCGCUAGAGUAUAGGAGAGGGAAGUGGAAUUUCUGGUGUAGGAGUGAAAUCCGUAGAGAUCAGAAGGAACACCGGUGGCGAAGGCGACUUCCUGGACUAUUACUGACACUGAGGAGCGAGAGCGUGGGGAGCAAACAGGAUUAGAUA
rnacentral:rRNA from 1 species